rnacentral:rRNA from 1 species
UAGAGUUUGAUCCUGGCUCAGAUUGAACGCUGGCGGAAUGCUUUACACAUGCAAGUCGAACGAUGAACCCUAGCUUGCUAGGGGGAUUAGUGGCGAACGGGUGAGUAAUAUAUCGGAACGUGCCUUGUAAUGGGGGAUAACUAGUCGAAAGAUUAGCUAAUACCGCAUACGCCCUGAGGGGGAAAGUAGGGGAUCUUCGGACCUUACGUUAUAAGAGCGGCCGAUAUCUGAUUAGCUAGUUGGUGGGGUAAUGGCCUACCAAGGCAUCGAUCAGUAGCUGGUCUGAGAGGACGACCAGCCACACUGGAACUGAGACACGGUCCAGACUCCUACGGGAGGCAGCAGUGGGGAAUUUUGGACAAUGGGCGCAAGCCUGAUCCAGCCAUUCCGCGUGAGUGAAGAAGGCCUUCGGGUUGUAAAGCUCUUUCGCAAGGGAAGAAAACUUACAUUCUAAUAAAGUGUGAGGCUGACGGUACCUUGAUAAGAAGCACCGGCUAACUACGUGCCAGCAGCCGCGGUAAUACGUAGGGUGCGAGCGUUAAUCGGAAUUACUGGGCGUAAAGCGUGCGCAGGCGGUUUGGCAAGUCAGAUGUGAAAUCCCCGAGCUCAACUUGGGAACUGCGUUUGAAACUGCCAGACUAGAAUAUGUCAGAGGGGGGUAGAAUUCCACGUGUAGCAGUGAAAUGCGUAGAGAUGUGGAGGAAUACCAAUGGCGAAGGCAGCCCCCUGGGAUAAUAUUGACGCUCAUGCACGAAAGCGUG